rnacentral:lncRNA from 1 species
AAUGACAAAAGAUAACCAAACAUCAAACCAGAAGUGUCAUCCAGUUAAGAACCACCCCACGAUCAGACAUCUGGAAAUUGAAGAGUAUAUCUAUAAGCACGGGAAACUCUAGGUAGAAGAGAAAAUGUAUAGAAAUAAAAAUACUAUUAUGUACUCCCUUUGCCACCCUCGAUUAACACAAUAUCAAUGACUCAUCAAAGAUCUGUCCGCGUCCAAAAACCAGACCAAGAUAGCCCCCACAUUAAGCUCCUACAGUGAUGGAAUCAAAACCUAUUUUGUAUCUCCUGUCACAGGGUAGGCCCAAAACAAUAUCCAAGUCUAUAUAACAACAAAAGAAUAUAAUAGAGAGAUCAAAUGCAACCAAUUAUGAACCCAGAACUGCCUUCCAGUUAAGCUUGAUUAAGAACCAAACAACGAUCAGGCAUCUGGAAAUCGAAGAGAAUAACAAUAAGCACGGGAAAGUCAAGAUGGAAGAUAAAUUGUAGCAGAAUUAAUACAAUACUAUACUCCCUCUGACACCCUCGAUAAACAUUAUAUCAGUGACAGCAUCAAAAGUUGAUGUCUCCAGUAACUAGACCAAGAUUAGCCCCACCAUAAGCUGCUUCUUUCACAACUUAAUUUUUAACUCCUGUCACAAGGUGAGGCAGAAAACAAUAUCCACGUCUACGUAACAAAUAAAAGAUUGUUGAAACUGACAAAAGAUAACCAAGCAUACCAGAAGUGCCUUCCAGUUAAGAACCACACAACAAUCAGACAUCUGGAAAUUGAAGAGUAUAACUAUUAGCACGGGAAACUCUAGGUAGAAGAGAAAAUGUAGGUAGAAAAAAAAUACUAUUAGUACUCCCUUUACCACCCACUAUUAACACUAUAUCAAUGACAGCAUGAAGGAUUUGUCAGUGUCCAAAAACCAGACCAAGACAGCCCCCACCUUAAGCUCCUACUUGAUAGAAUCAGAACCUAUUUUGUAUCUCCUAUCACAGGGUGAGGCUGAAACCAACAUCCGAGUCUAAAUAACAACAAAAGAACUACAAUAGAGAGAGCAAAGGUAACCAACUAUCAAACCCGAACUGCCGUCCAGUUAAGCUUGAUUAAGAACCACACAACGAUCGGGCAUCUGGAAAUGAAGAGAAUAACGAUAAGCACCGGAAGGUCUAGAUGGAAGAUAAAUUGUAUAGAAGAAAUACUAUACUAUACUCCCUCUGCCACCCUCGAUAAACACACUAUAUAGUGACCACGUCAAAGGAUUGACUUGUGUGCAAUAACUUGACUAAGAUUAGCCCUACCUUAAGCUCCUACUUGAUAAAAUUAAAACUUAAUUUUUAUCUCAUGUCAUAGGGUGGGGCAGAAAACAAUAUCCACGUCUAUGUAGCAAACAAAAUUGUUGAACUGACAAAAGAUAACCAAACAUCAAACAGAAGUGUCUCCAGUUAAGAACCACCCCACGAUCAGACAUCUGGAAAUUGAAGAGUAUAUCUAUAAGCACGGGAAACUCGAGGUAGAAGAGAAAAUGUAGUAGAAUAAAAAUACUAUUAUGUACUCCCUUUGCCACCCUCGAUUAACACAAUAUCAAUGACUACAUCAAAGAUCUGUCGCGUCCAAAAACCAGACCAAGAUAGCCCCCACAUUAAGCUCCUACAGUGAUGGAAUCAAAACCUAUUUUGUAUCUCCUGUCACAGGGUAGGCUCAAAACAAUAUCCAAGUCUAUAUAACAACAAAAGAAAUAUAAUAGAGAGAUCAAAUGCAACCAAUUAUGAACCCAGAACUGCCUUCCAGUUAAGCUUGAUUAAGAACCAAACAACGAUCAGGCAUCUGGAAAUCGAAGAGAAUAACAAUAAGCACGGGAAAGUCAAGAUGGAAGAUAAAUUGUAGCAGAAUUAAUACAAUACUAUACUCCCUCUGACACCCUCGAUAAACAUUAUAUCAGUGACAGCAUCAAAAGUUGAUAGUCUCCAUAACUAGACCAAGAUUAGCCCCACCAUAAGUGCUUCUUUCACAACUUAAUUUUUAACCCCUGUCACAAGGUGAGGCAGAAAACAAUAUCCACGUCUACGUAACAAAUAAAAGAUUGUUGAAACUGACAAAAGAUAACCAAGCAUACCAGAAGUGCCUUCCAGUUAAGAACCACACAACAUCAGACAUCUGGAAAUUGAAGAGUAUAUCUAUAGCACGGGAAAUUCUAGGUAGAAGAGAAAAUGUAGUAGAAAAAAAAUACUAUUAUGUACUCCCUUUCCACCCCGAUUAAACAUAUCAAUGACCAUAAGAUUGUCGGUCCAAAAACCAGACCAAGACAGCCCCCACCUUAAGCUCCUACUUUGAUAGAAUCAGAACCUAUUUUGUAUCUCCUAUCACAGGGUGAGGCUGAAACCAACAUCGAGUCUAAAUAACAACAAAAGAACUACAAUAGAGAAAGCAAAGGUAACCAACUAUCAAACCCGAACUGCCGUCCAGUUAAGCUUGAUUAAGAACCACACAACGAUCGGGCAUCUGGAAAUGGAAGAGAAUAACGAUAAGCACCGGAAGGUCUAGAUGGAAGAUAAAUUGUAUUAGAAGAAAUACUAUCUAUACUCCCUCUGCCACCCUCGAUAAACACACUAUAUCAGUGACCACGUCAAAGGAUUGACUUGUGUGCAAUAACUUGACUAAGAUUAGCCCUACUUAAGCUCCUACUUUGAUAAAAUUAAAACUUAAUUUUUAUCUCAUGUCAUAGGGUGGGGCAGAAAACAAUAUCCACGUCUAUGUACAAACAAAAUUGUUGAAAUGACAAAAGAUAACCAAACAUCAAACCAGAAGUGUCUCCAGUUAAGAACCACCCAGAUCAGACAUACUGGAAAUUGAAGGUAUAUCUAUAAGACACGGAAAUUGGUAGAAGAGAAAAUUAAGUAGAAUAAAAACUAUUAUGUACUCCCUUUGCCACCCUCGAUUAACACAAUAUCAAUGACUCAUCAAAGAUCUGUCCGCGUACCAAAAACCAGACCAAGAUACCCCACAUUAAGCUCCUACAGUGAUGGAAUCAAAACCUAUUUUGUAUCUCCUGUCACAGGGUAGGCCCAAAACAAUAUCCAAGUCUAUAUAACAACAAAAGAUAUAUAAUAGAGAGAUCAAAUGCAACCAAUUAUGAACCCAGAACUGCCUUCCAGUUAAGCUUGAUUAAGAACCAAACAACGAUCAGGCAUCUGGAAAUCGAAGAGAAUAACAAUAAGCACGGGAAAGUCAAGAUGGAAGAUAAAUUAUAGCAGAAUUAAUACAAUACUAUACUCCCUCUGACACCCUCGAUAAACAUUAUAUCAGUGACAGCAUCAAAAGUUGAUAGUCUCCAUAACUAGACCAAGAUUAGCCCCACCAUAAGUGCUUCUUUCACAACUUAAUUUUUAACCCCUGUCACAAGGUGAGGCAGAAAACAAUAUCCACGUCUACGUAACAAAUAAAAGAUUGUUGAAACUGACAAAAGAUAACCAAGCAUACCAGAAGUGCCUUCCAGUUAAGAACCACCCCACAUCAGACAUCUGGAAAUUGAAGAGUAAAAUUAUAAGCACGGGAAACUCUAGCUAGAAGAGAAAAUGUAGUAGGAAAAAAUAACUAUUAUGUACUCCCUUUGCAACCCUCGAUUAACAACAUAUUAAUUGACAAUAUCAAAGAUUUUUCCGUGUCCAAAAACCAGACCAAGAUAGCCCCCACAUUAAGCUCCUAUUGCGAUGGUAUCAAAACCUAUUUUGUAUCUCCUGUCAUAGGGUGAGGGCCAAAUCAAUAUCCAAGUCUACAUAACAACAAAAUAACUAUAAUAGAAAGAGCAAGGGUAACCAAUUAUCAAACCAGAACUGCCUUCCAUUUAAGCUUGAUUAAAAACCACACAACAAUCAAGCAUCUGGAAAUUGAAGAGAAUAAAGAUAAGUAUGAGAAAGUCUAGGUGGAAGAUAAAUUUUAGUAGAAAAAAUUACUAUAAAAUACUCCCUCUGCUACCCUGGAUAAAACCUAUAUCAGAGACAGCGUGAAAGGUUUGAUCUGUGUCCAAUAACUUGACCAAGAUUAGCCCCACCUUAUGCUCCCUACUUUGAUAAAAUCAAAACUUAAAUUUUAUCUCCUGCCAUAGGAUGAGGAGAAAACAAUAUCCACGUCUACGUAGCAAACAAAAAACUGAUGAAAAAGAGAACCAAGCAUCAAACCAGAAGUGUCUUCAAGUUAAGAACCACACAACGACCAGACACCUGGGAUUGAAGAGUAUAACGAUGGAGAGUAUAACGAUAAGAACCAGAAACUCUGGGUAGAAUAGAAUAUGUAGAAGAUAAAAUACUAUUCUGUUCUCCAUCUGCCUCCCUCAAUAAACACUAUAUCAAUGCCGGCAUCAUAGAUUAGUCCAUGUCCAAAAACCCAACCAAGAUAGCCCCAACUUAGAGCUCCUACUUUGAUAGAAUUAAAACCUAUUUUGUAUCUCCUGUAACAGGGUGAGGCCCAAAACAAUAUCCAAGUCAACAUAACAACACAAAAACUACAUUUACAGAGCAAACGUAACCAAUUAUCAAACCAGCCUUCCCGUGAAGCUUGAUUAAGAACCACACAGAGAUCAGGCAUCUGCAAAUUGAUGAGAACAACAGUAAGCACGCGAUAGUCUAGGGAGAAGAUAAAAUGUUGUAAAAAAAAAUACUAUUCGAUACUCCCUCUGCCACACUCGAUAUUAACAGCGUCAAAGGUUUAUCUUCCGAUAACCAGAUUAGCCCCACCUUAAGCUCCUUCUUUUAAUACUUAAUUUUUAUCUCCUGUCAUAGGGUGAGGCAGAAAACAAUAUCCACGUCUACGUAACAAACAAAAAAUUGUUGAAACUGACAAAAGAUAACCAAGCAUCAAACCAGAAGUGCCUUCCAGUUAAGAACCACUGAACCACACAACGAAUCAUCAGACAUCUGGAGAUUGAAGAGUAUAACUAUAAGCACGGGAAACUUUAGGUAGAAGAGAAAAUGUAGUAGAAAAAAAAUACUACUCCAUGUACUCUUCCUAUUGCCACCCUUGAUUAACAAUAUACCAAUGACAGCAUCAAAGAUUUUUCCGUGCCAAAAACCAGACCAAGAUAGCCCCCACAUUAAGCUCCUAUUGUGAUAGAAUCAAAACCUAUUUUGUAUCUCCUGUCACAGAGUGAGGCCCAAAACAAUAUCGAGUCUACAUAACAACAAAAGAACUAAAAUAAAGAGAGCAAAGGUAACCAAUUAUCAAACCAGAACAGCCUUCCAGUGAAGCUAGAUUAAGAAGCUCAGAGCGAUCAAGCAUCUGAAAAUUGAUGAGAACGGUAAGCAAGGGCAAGUCUAGGUAGAGGAUAAAAUGUUGUAAAAAAAUUACUAUACUAUACUUCCUCUGCAACCCUUGAUAAAAACACAAUAUCAAUUUGUCAGCGUCAAAUGUUGGUCCGUGGCCAACAACCAGACCAAGAUUAGCACCACCAUAAGUUCCUAAUUUGAUAGAAUCAAAACAUAAUUUUUAUCUCCUGUCAUAGGGUGAGGCAGAAAACAUAAAUUCAUCAUGAUGAUCUUGAGGCUCCUCACCAGCGAUUAAUCUGUGGCCAGAGAAGAGAACAAUUGAGUAAAUUCAUAACUAUCAGCGUUUCCACCAACUGCCGAUAACCAUCAAACUAUCAGCGCGAAAGGAAAAGGACAAAAUAAACCUUCUGGCUUGAGAGAUCACGAGCUAUCCAAUCGGUUGCCCUACAGAUACAAACGAAAGUAAGCCCCGAUAACCAAUACGGCAGAGGAAAUCAUGAUCUAAAUAGACCGUCAAAACUUGAACUAUAAAAUCUGCACUCGUUGCGAAUAACUGAAUAUUAACCCAAAUCAGCAGAAGGAAUCACAAUAACCGAUCUACACAAAUCAAAUACGUCAAAGUAGAUUGAACAGAAAUCCUCCGCUAGGUCAUCUAUCCUCGCCGCCAUAUGUCAUACCAGACAGGGAAGGCUAAUGGAAAUCGCAACACAAGGAGAGAGUAACCCGAUCGAAAACACAAAACUUAAUCGCCAACGAAAUCGCACCACAAAACACAAUAACCCUAGAUAUGAAUUCAGGAGAAGAGGGCCACAAUAGAAGAAAAAUAAUAGCGAAACACGCAAAGAGGGGGGAUGGGUAGGAGAAUGUGGGGAGAUAUGGUAUAUAUAGUGAGUCAUAGAGAGACUUG